rnacentral:rRNA from 1 species
GUCGAACGAGUUCUCGUUGAUGAUCGGUGCUUGCACCGAGAUUCAACAUAGAACGAGUGGCGGACGGGUGAGUAACACGUGGGUAACCUGCCCUUAAGUGGGGGAUAACAUUUGGAAACAGAUGCUAAUACCGCAUAGAUCCAAGAACCGCAUGGUUCUUGGCUGAAAGAUGGCGUAAGCUAUCGCUUUUGGAUGGACCCGCGGCGUAUUAGCUAGUUGGUGAGGUAAUGGCUCACCAAGGCGAUGAUACGUAGCCGAACUGAGAGGUUGAUCGGCCACAUUGGGACUGAGACACGGCCCAAACUCCUACGGGAGGCAGCAGUAGGGAAUCUUCCACAAUGGACGCAAGUCUGAUGGAGCAACGCCGCGUGAGUGAAGAAGGCUUUCGGGUCAUAAAACCCUGUUGUUGGAGAAGAAUGGUCGGCAGAGUAACUGUUGUCGGCGUGACGGUAUCCAACCAGAAAGCCACGGCUAACUACGUGCCAGCAGCCGCGGUAAUACGUAGGUGGCAAGCGUUAUCCGGAUUUAUUGGGCGUAAAGCGAGCGCAGGCGGUUUUUUAAGUCUGAUGUGAAGGCCCUCGGCUUAACCGAGGAAGCGCAUCGGAAACUGGGAAACUUGAGUGCAGAAGAGGACAGUGGAACUCCAUGUGUAGCGGUGAAAUGCGUAGAUAUAUGGAAGAACACCAGUGGCGAAGGCGGCUGUCUGGUCUGUAACUGACGCUGAGGCUCGAAAGCAUGGGUAGCGAACAGGAUUAGAUACCCUGGUAGUCCAUGCCGUAAACGAUGAAUGCUAGGUGUUGGAGGGUUUCCGCCCUUCAGUGCCGCAGCUAACGCAUUAAGCAUUCCGCCUGGGGAGUACGACCGCAAGGUUGAAACUCAAAGGAAU